CCAAGAUUACAGUGGUAUUUGAAGUUAAAAUCCUGGUGGGCUACAAAUUACGUGAGCGACUGGUGGGAGGAGUACAUCUACCUCCGAGGACGAGGGCCGCUCAUGGUGAACAGCAACUAUUAUGCCAUGGAUCUGCUGUAUAUCCUUCCAACUCACAUUCAGGCAGCAAGAGCCGGCAACGCCAUCCAUGCCAUCCUGCUUUACAGGCGCAAACUGGACCGGGAGGAAAUCAAACCAAUUCGUCUUUUGGGAUCCACGAUUCCACUCUGCUCCGCUCAGUGGGAGCGGAUGUUUAAUACUUCCCGGAUCCCAGGAGAGGAGACAGACGAUCUGCCUUGAUCAGCUGUCACUGUGCAUCCCCACUGAGCAGUGCUUAAGAGGACUUGAUAAAUAUUCGUGGAGUGAACGUACUUCAUCACAUUUCUGUGAUGUUUAAGCUUACUGAGGAGCUUAAAUUACUCUGUUUUAGUAGUUUUUACGGAAUGGCUUGGUUUCGUAAUUUUCCACUUUCUUUCUCAGAACAUUUCUCGGGUUCUCAGAAACAAUUAUCGGAAUGUUUCUCAGCAUAUUUUCUAAGUUGCCCUAUUGUCAUUAAUUAAUAAAAAGUUACUAUACGG
rnacentral:lncRNA from 1 species